rnacentral:tRNA from 1 species
AGGGGGGUAGCUCAGUUAUAGAGUACUUGCCUGGCAUGCAGGAAGCACUGGGUUCAAUACCCAGCACUGCAA